rnacentral:rRNA from 1 species
AACGAACGCUGGCGGCGCGCCUAAUACAUGCAAGUCGAGCGAGAAGACGUAGCAAUACGUUUGUAAAGCGGCGAACGGGUGAGGAAUACAUGGGUAACCUACCCUCGAGUGGGGAAUAACUAGCCGAAAGGUUAGCUAAUACCGCGUACGCUCCUUGGACUUCGGUUCAGGGAGGAAAGCGAUACCGUGGGUAUCGCGCUCUUGGAUGGGCUCAUGUCCUAUCAGCUUGUUGGUGAGGAACGGCUCACCAAGGCUUCGACGGGUAGCUGGUCUGAGAGGACGAUCAGCCACACUGGCACUGCGACACGGGCCAGACUCCUACGGGAGGCAGCAGUAAGGAAUAUUGCGCAAUGGGCGAAAGCCUGACGCAGCGACGCCGCGUGGGGGAUGAAGGUCUUCGGAUUGUAAACCCCUUUCGGGAGGGAAGAUGGAACGAGCAAUCGUUCGGACGUACCUCCAGAAGCAGCCACGGCUAACUUCGUGCCAGCAGCCG